rnacentral:lncRNA from 1 species
GUUGUGCAGCCAUCACCUACAUGCGACCAACGUACCGACAAUUUGCCAACGUUGGGCCAAUGUUGUGCAGCCAACAUAAACUUGCGACCAACGGACCGACAAUUUGCCAACGUUGGGCCAAUGUUGUGCAGCCAACACCAACGGUCGUCCAACGGGCCGACAAUUUGCCAACGUUGGCCCACUGUUAGUCUGUUGACUGGGUUA